ensembl:ncRNA C17D12.14 ncRNA
ACAAUUUUCAAAAUUCAGAAAUUUUGAUUUUAAGCCAAGUUAUAGCGGUUUUAAGUUGGUGGCCUAGAAA